AGAGUUUGAUCNUGGCUCAGGACGAACGCUGGCGGCGUGCUUAACACAUGCAAGUCGAGCGAUGAAGUUUCUUCGGAAAUGGAUUAGCGGCGAACGGGUGAGGAACACGUGAAGAAUCUGCCCUCCACUUUGGGAUAACACCGGGAAACCGGUGCUAAUACCGAAUAUUGAAACAUAAGUGGCAUCACUGAGUUUUGAAAGAAUUUCGGUGGAGGAUGACUUCGCGGCCUAUCAGCUAGUUGGUGAGGUAAUGGCUCACCAAGGCAACGACGGGUAGCCGGCCUGAGAGGGCGACCGGCCACACUGGGACUGAGACACGGCCCAGACUCCUACGGGAGGCAGCAGUGGGGAAUAUUGGGCAAUGGAGGAAACUCUGACCCAGCGACGCCGCGUGCGGGAUGAAGGCCUUCGGGUUGUAAACCGCUUUCAGUAGGGAAGAAGCGAAAGUGACGGUACCUACAAAAGAAGCACCGGCUAACUAUGUGCCAGCAGCCGCGGUAAUACAUAGGGUGCAAGCGUUGUCCGGAAUUAUUGGGCGUAAAGAGCUCGUAGGUCGUUUGUUACGUCGGAUGUGAAAACCUGAGGCUCAACCUCAGGCCUGCAUUCGAUACGGGCAAACUAGAGUUUGGUAGGGGAGACUGGAAUUCCUGGUGUAGCGGUGGAAUGCGCAGAUAUCAGGAGGAACACCAAUGGCGAANGCAGGUCUCUGGGCCAAUACUGACACUGA
rnacentral:rRNA from 1 species